rnacentral:rRNA from 1 species
CCCCCAGCUAAGGGCCUGAACUAAAUGGAACCUGCCUUGAUGUCUUCGGUUGGGGCGACCAUGGGGAAUACAAAACCCCCACGUGGAAAGGGAGCACACCCCUAAGUUACUUCUUCUCCCGCAAGCCAGAGCAACAGCUCUAACAAGCAGAAAUUCUGACCAAACUGAUCCGGUAAAACCGAUCAACGAACCAAGUUACCAUAGGGAUAACAGCGA